GAGACUUCCCAGGGAGGGUGACAUGAGCAAAUGCAUCCAGAGGGAAGAAGAAAUGUGGAUACUCAGAGAGACACCAGGGUUGUACACACAAAGGAAAGACCAUGUAAGGCACAGAAAGAAGGCAGCCAUCUAUAAGCCAAGUGGAGAGGACUGGAAUGGAUCUUCCCUUAUGGCCCUCAGAAGAAACCACCCCUGCUGAUGCUUUUAUCUUAGACUUCUAGCUUCCAGAACUGUGAGAAAAUAAAUAUCUGUUGUUUAAGCCA